UAGGGAAUUUUUCACAAUGGGCGAAAGCCUGAUGAAGCAAUGCCGCGUGGACGAUGAAGGUCAUAUUGAUCGUAAAGUCCUUUUAUGAGGGAAGAACAACUAAAAUAGGAAAUGAUUUUAGUCUGACUGUACCUCUUGAAUAAGUAACGGCUAACUAUGUGCCAGCAGCCGCGGUAAUACAUAGGUUGCAAGCGUUAUCCGGAUUUACUGGGCGUAAAACGAGCGCUGGACGGAGUUUAUGAAUGUCUGGUGUGAAAUACAGUUGCUCAACAAUCUGUUUUGCAUUAGAAACUGUAAGUCUAGAGUGUAGUAGGGAUUCUGGAACUCCAUGUGGAGCGGUGGAAUGCGUAGAUAUAUGGAAGAACACCAGUGGCGAAGGCGAGAACUUGGACUAUCACUGACGUUUAGGCUCGAAAGUGUGGG
rnacentral:rRNA from 1 species